UUUACAGUUGGGAUUAAGUUCUGUUUUUGUUGUAAUGUAUAGAUUUUUGGUUUUUACAUGUUCUAAAAGCCAUUUUUUUUUAAAUUUCAGUAGACCUAUGAAAGAGGAUAAUGGGAAAAUAAGCUAACAUUUACUGAGAAUUUAAAAUAUAGUGAGCUCUAUAGAAGGUAUUAAUAUUUUAUCUCUUUUAGUCUUUAUAAAAACCCUAUAUAAAGAUAUUAUCAGCCUAAUAACAUUAGUUGCAUACAUUACUAUACGUGAUUUAUGUAAUUUGCUUUCAGUUACACAACUGGUAAGUAGGCAGUCAGUUUUAAACCCCCUUUAUCUCAGAGCCUCAGAUUUCUUUCCUCUGUAUUUCUUCUUCCCUUCGAUAGCAUUUAAACCCAAGUUGGCAGCAUUAAGAGGGAGAAUUUGGCAUCUAGUGCCGCGGCAGGCGGCUGUCGCGGCUGUGGCCAAGGGAAGUGAAUGGUUUUACCCAGAGGGCCGUGCACCGCCUUUCUCCGCUGGCACCGGCGCUGCUCCCUGCUCCUCCCCGGCCAUGGGGUUCACGUUCGCGGCCUUCUGCUACAUGCUGGCGCUGCUGCUCACCGCCACGCUCAUCUUCUUCGCCAUCUGGCACAUUAUAGCAUUUGAUGAGCUGAAGACUGAUUACAAGAAUCCCAUAGACCAGUGUAAUACCCUGAAUCCCGUAUAUGAGUAGACCAGUGAUGAGCGGACCCGGGCUCUAUAACCCCACCACCAUCAUGAAUGUGGACAUUCUAGCAUAUUGUCAGAAAGAAGGAUGGUGCAAAUUAGCUUUUUAUCUUCUAGCAUUUUUUUACUACCUAUACGGCAUGAUCUAUGUUUUGGUGAGCUCUUAGAACAACACACGGAAGAAUCGGUCCAGUUAAGUGCAUGCAAAAAGCCUCCAGAUGAAGGGUUCUAUCCAGCAAGAUCCUGUUUCCAAGAGUAGCCUAUGGAAUCUGCUCAGUUACUUUAAAAAAAUGACUCCUUAUUUUUUAAAUGUUUCCACAUUUUUUGCUUGUGGAAAGACUGUUUUCAUAUGUUAUACUCGGAUAAAGAAUUUAAGUGGAAUUACGUAUAAAUUAAUAUGAAGUGAUUACCUCCAGAAUUGGCAGGUUUGAACUUGCACUCCUUAAGGAACAGCCCCAACCCUCUGGAUGACUGCACUGAUCCCUGACUGUCCUAGUCCAUUGGAAGCUCUGGUUCAUAGGAACUUGUAGGGCUCGUUUUGGUUUUAUUGAAACACAUCUAGUUACAAAUCAGCUGUAUGUAUCAGGUGCUAUGAUGAGCUGGAAUAUGUAUCUGAGGUGGGAAAUGUCUUGGGUUUCCCCAGAUAUCAUGGAGAUGAUCAUAUAUGGGCACGUUUACAAGAAUAAGAGUGUAAUUUUUUUUCCCUUUGACUUGAAUAUUAUCCCUGUAUAUUGCAUGAAUGAGAGAUUUCCUGUAUUUCCACCAGAGUAACAAAUAUACUUGCUUUAAUUCUUAAGCAUAAAUGAACAUGAUAUAAAAAUAUGCUGAAUUGCUUGUGAAGAAUGCAUUUAAAGCUAUUUUGAAUGUGUUUUUAUUUGUAAAACAUUGCUUAUUAAGAACUUCGUUCUUAUGCUUACUAUUCUAAUCUGGUGGUAAAGGUAUUCUUAAGAAUUUGCAAGUACUUUAGAUUUUAAAAACAAAGAAAAUUGUAUAACCGUCCCGCUGUCCCUUUAGUGCAAUACAAUAAAACUCUGAAAUUAAGAUUC